rnacentral:rRNA from 1 species
UACAUAGGUCUCAAGCGUUGUUCGGAUUCAUUGGGCGUAAAGGGUGCGUAGGUGGCGGGGUAAGUCUGGUGUGAAAUCCUGGGGCUCAACCCCGGAACUGCACUGGAUACUGCUUUGCUAGAGUACUGGAGAGGGAACUGGAAUUUACGGUGUAGCAGUGAAAUGCGUAGAUAUCGUAAGGAAGACCAGUGGCGAAGGCGAGUUCCUGGACAGUUACUGACACUGAGGCACGAAGGCCAGGGGAGCAAACGGG